AGUGGCGGACGGGUGAGUAACACGUGAGAAUUUGCCUUUAGGAGGGGGAUAACAAUUGGAAACAAAUGCUAAUACCCCAUAUGCUUUUGAGUGAAAUGGAUUUAUCCGCCUAGAGAGAAGCUCGCGGCUGAUUAGCUUGUUGGUAAGGUAAGAGCUUACCAAGGCGACGAUCAGUAUCUGGUUUGAGAGGACGAUCAGACACACUGGAACUGAGACACGGUCCAGACUCCUACGGGAGGCAGCAGUGGGGAAUUUUCCGCAAUGGGCGAAAGCCUGACGGAGCAAUACCGCGUGAGGGAAGACUGCCUAUGGGUUGUAAACCUCUUUUUUCAGGGAGGAAUAAAAUGACGUGUACCUGAAGAAUAAGCAUCGGCUAACUCCGUGCCAGCAGCCGCGGUAAGACGGAGGAUGCAAGUGUUAUCCGGAAUCACUGGGCGUAAAGCGUCUGUAGGUUGUUUAAUAAGUCAACUGUUAAAGCUUGAGGCUCAACUUCAAAAUCGCAGUCGAAACUAUUAGACUAGAGUAUAGUAGAGGUAAAGGGAAUUUCCAGUGGAGCGGUGAAAUGCGUAGAUAUUGGAAAGAACACCGAUUGCGAAAGCACUUUACUGGGCUAUUACUAACACUCAGAGACGAAAGCUAGGGUAGCAAAUGGGAUUAGAUACCCCAGUAGUCCUAGCCGUAAACAAUGGAUACUAGAUGU
rnacentral:rRNA from 1 species